rnacentral:rRNA from 1 species
AUUGAACGCUGGCGGAAUGCUUUACACAUGCAAGUCGAACGGUAGAGGGGCAACCCUUGAGAGUGGCGAACGGGUGAGUAAUGUAUCGGAACAUGCCCAGUCGUGGGGGAUAACGUAGCGAAAGUUACGCUAAUACCGCAUACGAUCUAUGGAUGAAAGCGGGGGAUCGCAAGACCUCGCGCGAUUGGAGUGGCCGAUAUCAGAUUAGGUAGUUGGUGGGGUAAAGGCCUACCAAGCCGACGAUCUGUAGCUGGUCUGAGAGGACGACCAGCCACACUGGGACUGAGACACGGCCCAGACUCCUACGGGAGGCAGCAGUGGGGAAUUUUGGACAAUGGGCGCAAGCCUGAUCCAGCCAUUCCGCGUGCAGGAAGAAGGCCUUCGGGUUGUAAACUGCUUUUGUACGGAACGAAACGCGCUGAGCUAAUACCUCGGCGUAAUGACGGUACCGUAAGAAUAAGCACCGGCUAACUACGUGCCAGCCGCCGCAGUAAAAC